rnacentral:rRNA from 1 species
UACCGGCAGCCCGAGUGAUGGCCGAUCUUAUUGGGCCUAAAGCGUCCGUAGCUGGCCGCGCAAGUCCAUCGGGAAAUCUCCCCGCUCAACGGGGAGCCGCCCGGUGGAAACUGCGUGGCUUGGGACCGGAAGGCGCGACGGGUACGUCCGGGGUAGGAGGGAAAUCCCGUAAUCCUGGACGGACCGCCGAUGGCGAAAGCACGUCGCGAGGACGGAUCCGACAGUGAGGGACGAAAGCUGGGGUCUCGAACCGG